GACACUUUUUAAAAAUGCACUUUGUAAUAAUAUCUAAAUAAUUUUAAAUUAUAGUAAGUACACUUUCAUCAUAAUAUUUAUAAACACACUUAAGUGCACUUUUAAAAAUGCACUUUGUAUUAAUGUCUAAUUAAGCUUAACUUAAAGAAAGUACACUUUCAACAUAAUAUUUAUAAACACACUUAAGUGCACUUUUAAAAAUGCACUUUUUAAUACUGUCUAAUUAAGCUUAACUUAUAGUAAGUACACUUUCAUCACAAUAUUUCUUAACAUACUUAAGUACACUUUUUAAAAAUGCACUUUGUCUAAUUUAGUUUUACUUAAAUGUAACCCUGGUUAAAUAAUUAAAUAUUAUUAUUUUAAAAGUGUGCUUAAAAAUAAUAGAGACUAUUCAUACAUCUACAUUUAUUUUAUAAAUGAGGAAAUACAUGUGAAUAAUUCAAUCUGAAUUAUAAAUCUGAAAUGAGUAAACCAAUCGGAGUGUUUAAUUGUAAGCUCCGCCCCUUUUUUGCUUUCGGAUCGCGUCUCAGUUCAGAGGAGAGAUGCAGAGCGACAGAGACACUCGAUUUAACGCGAGAGUGUUUAAUUUGAUUAAAUAUGACUCCUAAGUUCAUAUAAACUGAAGAAAUCAGAAUUUAACUUGCAUAUAUUCAAUGAUACAGCGUGAUUGUGUGGAUUGAGCACUUUUUGAGCUUUCAUUUUGACCUGUGUGAUUAUGUAAAACCACAUGGUGCGUUGUGUUCACUGCUGUUCGCUGACGCCAUUUUGGUUGCACGUGCCUGUGAAAGACAAAAAGAGAGAGAAACACGUGAAUGGACAGGUAUUUGUCUAAAUUGUCAUUUAUUAUGAUGAUGGCACUUAUGUAUGUAUUUUAUUUGUUUCCUGUAUUGUGUACAAUUGUUCAUCAUUAUUGAUACACAAUAUUGAAUGUUUUUUCCUUUCGUAUGAACAUUCCUUGAGCUGGUUUUUCCUAAUUGAUGGCGAGCCUCCCAUUUCGACCUGAUUGGAUCACGAAUCUAUAGGAAAGGACAAAUUUCUAUUUUAAAUAUUUUUCUUCAGACAAGUAAGAGGAUACAUUUCAGAAACUGUUUCCUUAUUUUGUUUGUUUACUUCAUUGAACUGAAACAUUUCAGAAGCACAAAUCUGAUAAUUUAAGACUGAUCAAUACUCCAAUGAUAAAAACUUUGAACUUGAAUACGGAUUUCAGUGUGUUACAUAUAUAAUUUGUACCAUCUUUGUACAUUGAUUGUGACUGUGAUUUCUGUAAAUGAGAAGUAAUUUAGAGGGUGCACCCAUAGUAUAUAUCCCCCUUCUUCAAAUCUUACCCUGGAGGUCCGGAGCACUACAGAGUUUAGCUCCAACCCUGAUCAAACACACCUGAGCAAGCUAAUCAAGGUCUUCAUGAUCACUGGGAAAUCACAGGUGGGUAAGUUUGAUUAGGGUUGGAGCUAAACUCUGUAGUGCUCUGGACCUCCAGGGUAAGAUUUGAGGAACCCUGGUAUAUAUAGUUAAUUGUAUUUUCAUUGUUGUUUACUAUUUUUUGUGAUUAAGGAAAGAAAAAGAAAGGUUUCUCAAUACUCAAAGUAAAAUAAUUUAUUAAUCAACUUA